CACUGGAUACCUUCUCACAAUUCUGGAGUUUCCGCCACAUGUUAUGUUUUGCUCAAUGCCUCGCCUAGAAUUAUGCUAUGGCAUCUGUCCUCUACACAGUACAGUGCAAGUAUCAGCUCUCCAGACAAGACACACUGCUCUUGCCGCGUAUCCUGGGACUCUGCACAUCAAGUACCAAAUAAUUUCAUGGUUUUGAUCAUUCUGUAACCAUACAGACAGUGAAUAUCUUGGCACGUGUGAUGGUCCACACCUUUAGUUCCAGAAUUCAGGAGACAGAGACACAUGGAUCCUU